rnacentral:rRNA from 1 species
CCUACGGGGGGCUGCAGUGGGGAAUAUUGGACAAUGGGGGGAACCCUGAUCCAGCCAUGCCGCGUGUGUGAAGAAGGCCCUCGGGUUGUAAAGCACUUUCAGUGAGGAAGAACGCCUGGUGGUUAAUACCCAUCAGGAAAGACAUCACUCACAGAAGAAGCACCGGCUAACUCCGUGCCAGCAGCCGCGGUAAUACGGAGGGUGCGAGCGUUAAUCGGAAUUACUGGGCGUAAAGCGCGCGUAGGUGGCUUGAUAAGCCGGUUGUGAAGGCCCCGGGCUCAACCUGGGAACGGCAUCCGGAACUGUCAAGCUAGAGUGCAGGAGAGGAAGGUAGAAUUCCAGGUGUAGCGGUGAAAUGCGUAGAGAUCGGGAGGAAUACCAGUGGCGAAGGCGGCCUUCUGGACUGACACUGACACUGAGGUGCGAAAGCGUGGGUAGCAAACAGGAUUAGAUACCCUAGUAGUC